rnacentral:rRNA from 1 species
GNUAANNNANNGAACUUCCCCCCAGUNAUUGGUUUCCCUUCGACGGCCGCUUUCCUAAAAGGUUAGCUAACCGGCUUCGGGCGCCCCCAACUUCCAUGGUGUGACGGGCGGUGUGUACAAGACCCGGGAACGCAUUCACCGCAGCAUUCUGAUCUGCGAUUACUAGUAACUCCAGCUUCAUGUAGGCGAGUUUCAGCCUACAAUCCGAACUGAGAAUGGCUUUAAGGGAUUAGCUCCCCCUCCCGGUUUGGAACCCUCUGUACCACCCAUUGUACACGUGUGUACCCUAACAUAGGGGAUGAUGAUUGACGUCUCCCCCACCUUCCUCCAGUAUCCCGGAGCCCCUAAGUGCCAAUUAAGGUGGCAACAAAGGCAGGUGCCUCGUUCGGACUAACCACCUCUACCCCAAGUUGAAACACAUGACCACUUCCCCUUGUCCCCAAGAAAACCUCCUUUUGGAAAGUAAAAAGAUUUAACUUAAUAAGCUCCUUCCUUCUUCCAAAAAACCAAACCUCCCAUUUGGGGCCCCCCAAUCCUUGAAUUUAAUUUUGACCCAUUCCCCCGGGGCUUAUUGGUCCCCGGGCCAAAAAUCCAAACCCCCCCCAUACCCCUCUUUUUGGGGGACAACCAACUUAAUCUUU